GUGUUCACUUCAAUAGCACAUGUACUAAAAUUGGAUUAAUACAGAGAAUAUUAGCAUGGGCUCUGAACAAGGAUGACAUGCACUUUGGUGAAGUAUUUCAUAUUUUU